rnacentral:lncRNA from 1 species
GAAACUACAAAUCCCUCAGAUACUCACCCCCAGACCUCCUUUCUGCAGGACAGGGGAAAGUGCUCCUGUUGCAGUGAUGAUGUUGCGGCUGUGAAAGUUUGGCAGUUGUGGUGUCGGAUCGAAGGUCAUCUUGGCUCUCCAGAAGAGGUCUUUGGAUGUGUGCAGACAGACUCCAUUAAGGAAGCCACUCAGCCUGCCUGGAGAGCAAAAGGAGACCUCCCUGGGACUGAAGCCCACUGUUUUCAGUUUGUGGUCAUGGCACAUUUGUUUGCAAAGCAAUAUUCAGUCAGCCACAAGUCACAAGGUUCAACCCUCUUGGACUGUGCUUCAGGAACCUUAAAUAAACAAACACAAAAUCAUGAGAUAAGGAAAAAAUAAAAUUUCCUGAGGAAAUACUCCCAAGCAUGACACCAGAAGAUGGCCAAAUUUUCACAAAUUAAUGGGUGAACCAGGUUUCACUCUUGGGUCUCCUCUGAAGCUUCAUGUCGAACCUCACCCCAUGACUUACUGCUGGGCUAGAGUGGCUUCUCUACCCAGCAUAGCAUAGCUCAGUCGGACAGGACCCACAUAGCUCAUGGGGGCAGAAUCCAAGUCCUAGCCACUUAUCUCCUUGUGCCUGUACGUUGCUGGCCUGCAGACCAGCAGGCUCAAUCUAGUUGUGAGCAAUGAAAGAGGAGUGUGAUCUUGAGGAUGGAGGUAACAUGAUCCUAAAGAUGUCGCCUUAGCAGUAGAGUCCAGUAACUUGUUUAUGUAAAGGAGUGCAUUAGGAUUCACCUCUUUCUUGAGAGAGGAAAGGCAAGUUGCCAAGGGGGACUGUAUGGUCUGGAGUGAACAGAAGAUGACAGGAAGCCAGCAGGAGACCUGGACCCUAUUCUCAGCUCAGUCGUUGACUCAUGGACACAUUGAAUAGGACACUCCUGCAUGGAUUAACUCUAUAUUUAGGCAAUGUAAAAAAUCAACUCGCUUGCUUUUGCAAAGCACUUUGAGAUCAUCAGAUGUCAAGUGCUUGAAGGACGUUCUGUCCUGUGCAAAUGCACUGAAGUUCCCAAAACAGGUGUGCCACGCCACCAGCAAAAGGACGCCUCUGACCUUUACAAACCCCUUCUACCAGUGCAUCACGUUAGUGGAAAGCUUGGUGGCCUCCAGCUUUUUUCCAGGUAGAGAGCGCUGAGAGCUCUGCUAUUCCCAGUCUGGGUCUCUGGCAGUGGUUCAGCAGCACUGGGUCACAGGAGUAUUCUGGGAGCUCAGACACAUUUGAACAACAGUCUGAGCAAUAAACCCUCCUGGGAACAAUAGAAGUGUGGAUGC